rnacentral:lncRNA from 1 species
UUCUCAAUUUUGAUUUGGUGUUGGUCAAAUGAGUAAAAUCAACUCCACAAUUGAAGUCUUUAUUCAAACUUUUAGUGAGAGUGUAAAAUAAACCACACUAGGCCCUUCAAAAUUCAUUCAUUAGUUUUGGACAUGAUACAAACAAACGUCCAAAAUUCAUGUAACCGUCACCUCCCUAUCUUGUUGAAGGUGAUCUGAAAACCAUCUGUCAACCGACGAAUUAACCUGAUGAUUAGAGUCAGCUUCAAAGCAAACAGGCCUACGCAUACUACUUUUUGUAUGCCAAACAUCUACAACUUCGUUCAAAUGAUUGAUCAGACCAACAUCUUUGUAUGUUGAUCCAAAAACAACCACAUAUUCAUUACUUUCAACUUCCAGAAUAGAAGUAGCAUGGAAUUUUCAGUUUGUAGGUUCUUAGAUCAGGAAAUUGUAGCCGUAGGUUUUAACGUUUCGUGAAACAACUAUGGACUUUGAGAACUUAUUAGUUGACCCAAUGAAUGAAUAUGAUCAAAAAUCUUUGUAGGCUUUAGGAAACAUAUAGCGAUAAUCAAUUGGCAUUGGAAGAGAGGAUCUUCAGUGGAAUUCGGGGGAGAAAUUAAGGCUAAUAAAGGAGUUGGGGUAGGUCGCAUGAACACUAAAUUUGUCCCGCUAAUCGCUUCUUUUAAGUUUGUCUGCUUCAUAUUUGGUUUAGGUGUCGCCGCUAUUUCAGGUAUCAUGUGGUAAAGAGAGGUAGCAUGCGUGUUUGAUUCAAGUUUCAGGGUGAUUAGGCUUGGUUUGGUUUGGGGGUCAACAGAGUUCCUCAUGCGAGUUGCUGGAAAAACACAGGGGAGGUCUACAUUGGAGGCAGCAAGAGGGUGGGAUGAAUUCAUCAAAAGGGUUAAGGAUUAUUUGUAUUUAAUCUUUUGCCGUAAUAAGUAAUAAAGUCUUUUAAGUUUUAUCCAGAUCUUCACUUUUUUCACUCACAUUCUUUAGUUAUAGUCGUUAGUGUACUUGCAUGUGUAAUCUAAUCAACCUUAAAACCCAAGAUGAUUAAGCAUUCACACUCUAAUACUAUAGCAAAUACACCAUGGCAGUUUAGUUUAGAUCAAAUCAUCAUUCUGUCCCUACAAAUAUUGUUCAAAUCACGUGUCCACGACCUAUAAUUCUCUUUCUCAAUUUCGCAAUUCAAUAGCAUUGUCAACGAUGUUGAUACAAACUCUCAUGACCCCAGCACUAAAGAAAUCUUCAAUAGGUCUUACAUUUAGACAAAAAUAUGAGAGACUAACCAUUUUAUGUUAUAUAUAUUAGUGUCCACCCGUCCAUAUCAAACUACGUCUAUGGUCAUGAAAUUCAUGAACGGACUUUGCGUAACAAUCAUUCUUCGCAUACAAUUAGAAAUGGCUUGGAAAUCUGACAUACUGUGUUAAGAAAAUGAAAUAGAUGAGCGAAAGAAAGUAUACACUCUAACAAACCUUUUCUGCAUCUAAUGUUUAACAUUCCACGACAUUUCUAAAGUAGAUACAUAAAAUAAUCCCACAUGACGUAAAAAUUUGUUUAACAUGCACACUAGCAUAUAAACAUGCAACGAAAAGAGAUACUCUCAUGGACAUGGACAUGGAUGGAAGGAAGAAUAUAACUUUGAAAUAUAUUUGUAACAAAAUGUUACUUGCCGAGUUGCGGAGUCGAUCUCUUUCAUUUAUUUAACAUUCUAUAUCUAAUAUGGUAAUUUCGUUUCUGUUCAGUUGACCGACCAUUCAAUGCUGUAAACUUACCUUGUGGUUUCUUCAUUAUGUUAUCCAAGUACCAUCUCACAUAUCUGUCAUCCAUGUCAAACAUGAAAUCCAUUCCCCUUAUCUACCAAUCAAAACAUAGCCAUGUGUUACUAUUACUUCUUUUAUCGUACCAGCAAAAUACAGAUCUUAGUGAAAAAAAAAAAAAAAACAAUUACCU